UUGAACGCUGGCGGCAUGCCUUACACAUGCAAGUCGAACGGUAGAGGGGCAACCCUUGAGAGUGGCGAACGGGUGAGUAAUGCAUCGGAACGUGCCCAGUCGUGGGGGAUAACGCAGCGAAAGCUGUGCUAAUACCGCAUGUGAUCUGUGGAUGAAAGCAGGGGACCGCAAGGCCUUGUGCGAUUGGAGCGGCCGAUGUCAGAUUAGGUAGUUGGUGGGGUAAAAGCCCACCAAGCCGACGAUCUGUAGCUG
rnacentral:rRNA from 1 species